UCCGCCACAAAUCUCCGAAAUGCGUACGUCCUAUUCUCGGAAUAUUUGCUCCGUUUCAUAUUAGGCAUUUCAUAGAGUUUUAUAUAUGAAAAUGUGCGCAAUUUCAUGUAGAAUAAAACAAAAAAUAUUUGAAGGUUGUAGCUUUUUUUUAUUUCCGAAAUAAUUGCAUAUAAACAAUAUAUAUAUAAAAAAAUCGACAUUCGGUCAACUUUAACUCGUCAGAUAUGGUCGAAAACUGCAUUUGUAAGCUAAUACUCUUACAGUAUAGUAAUAUUCAAUCAUUUGUCUUCAUUUUGAAAGAAAUUGGAAGUCUCUAGGACAAUAUUUAGAUUUAUGGUGAAUUUUUGAAAAAAAAUAUCUGUUUAGGUCCGUGCGUUACGAAUUCAUGCAUUAUUUUGUGAUAAUAUUUUCUCUGUGUUGCUUUUAUCAUUUUACAAUGUGUUAUAUACAAAUAUGAUCGCAAUUUAGUGUACAUUACAACGAAAAAAAAGUAACUUGUUACCUUUAACCGUUUUGCGCACAGUGCGAUUUGAAUACAAUUAUAUAUGAAAUUUCGUUUUUGCGCUAUCAUAUAUCGCAUUAUUUAUAUAUGAUAAUGAUAAUUUUUUUCCUUUUUGAUGGUUGCAUACUAAACUUCAGCCAAUGACAAAAAAAGGAGCCAAAAAUGAACUCUUAAUCUUGAAAACUAAGCGCGCUGUGAUUUUUUGAAAAAAAAUAUUUUUUCCGCUUCCGCACUCACUCUGAAACACCUCCGGCACACGGGAGACAUUUUUUUUUUUUACCGCUUCGGCGUUUAAGGGUUAAUGAGAGUAAAUGGUGAAAAAAUAUUUUAACAGAAAAGGCCAUUAUACCUCUUGCAAGUAACAAAGACAAUGUUUUGAGGGUGUAACAGCCUUAUUAUGAUCUUGUACACAGUGAAACAUGACUUACAUGUCCAGGACUUACUUUCCCCGACACUACAGUGUGGUUUGCAAGGAAUGUCACGCUAAUAAAUGACUUAGCAGUCUGCCGAUUUGUUAAAUGGUUUUCCCGCCCACACGAUGAGUGUCCUCAAGACGAACAUUAUCACUCAAAUAAGGAGGAAAAGUAUUGUUUUAUUGGAACGAAUAUUUCUAGAUAUCGACAUAAAUUUAACUAUUUCAAAACCCUAAAUAUUCGCAUGCAAGAGUAAAUAUGCUCACAGCGAUUGUGAUUUUGAAGAUCUACUCUGUAUACUUCAACCCUCUAAUUAGACAGAGAGAGAAAAAAGCAAAACAUUCACAAAUAAAGAAAGUCCAAGACACUAGAGAAGGUAGGGUAAAGAGAAAAAGAGCGAGUACCGACUGAUUUGGACCACAAGAAAUAUUCAUAGGUAAAGACUACGCGAGAGCGAAUGCGAGAGAUCACGUGCGGGGACGAGAAGGCCAAAACAAAUGAACGAUAAACGCGGCAGCUCAUCAAAAGGAGACGUUGACGCCAUGCCGCACAGCAAGUGUUGCAUAAUAAUGGUAUAUUCAUAAUAAUAUUAACAGCAACGACAGUAACCUCUGGAGCCCUAUGCCUUUACACAGCCUAAACCAACCACAUCUGACAGACGGGUCUGUUCGCCAUUUUUUUAAGACACCCCUCUGUGUUCUCAUUUACGUAACCACUUAAUAUGUGUAGCUGUGACGGUGUGUGUUUGGCACUAUUCAGAUAACGUAUCUGGAGAGACGCCAACGAGAGCGUAGGGUAGAGGGGCACUGGCACGCCUGGGUACAACGACGACAGUCUGUUUCGUUCGGGGUAACACUUGACGUCUCUUUGCUGCGUGGGAAAAUAGACGGCGCUUCUUGUAAAGAGAUUUGGUGCAGGUUUUUGCAUUAAUACAUUCUGUAUCAUAAACGGACGUCACAAGUGUCAUGAUCAACUUCACCUCAUUCUGCCAAAGUCUGAAUUAGACCUCUGGAGAUGGAAAUGUACUUUUGUAAAGGGAAAUUCUGUGGGUGAACUUCGAUAGCGCCAUCACCAAAAAAAAAAAAGAAGAAGAACGGCGCAGGUGGCAGAGGACAGAAUGGAGGUACUCCAGGCUAUGCUGUGCUGUCCACUGGUCGAGGUCACUGAGACACCAAUAACAACAAGGACAACCAAGAACCACAACCCAAUAACACAACAUCCAAGGACCACAACUCAACAGCACAACACCCAAGGACCAGAACUCAACAAGACAGCAACAAACAAGGAACACAACAACAAACAAGGAACACAACCACAACAAAGACCACUGCACAAACAAUCACUAACACAUAAAAACAACACAAAAAAGCACACACACACACUAACAACACCAAGGAAUCACAACAGCUCACCAAUAACAACCCUAAACAACUCACAACCACACCAAGAAACUACAACAGCCCCCAAAACAACCCUCAACUAUAACAAUCACACAUAAUCCAACAGGAACUCACAUAUAACUCAACAAAAUCCUUAUAGCACAACAAAUCGAACAGUACAGGCACAACAACUCUUAAGCAACAAUAUCAAACUAAACAAAACAAACAACAAAUCAAUAACACGACUCAACUGGCUUUCAAUUCCUUGAAGACUGCUGCCGACACUACUAUCACCAGCUGUCACCAAAGACUGACCAAAAACUAACUCAAAACACAGAACUCUAAACUCCAACAGCACCAGCAGACAACCAAGAACUCACCAACAGCCAAUUCAGUCGCUAACUAUCUAUACAGCAAUUAUACCCUCUCUCUCUCUCUCUCUCUCUCUCCUCCUCUCUCUCUCACACACACACACACACACACACACACAGCCGUUGUCAAAAGGAACUCCAUAACUCCUCCAUAAUAUAGCCAUGCAAUCAGCUUAGUGGUCAAGUAAAACUAAGAUAUACUUAACUUUUAAUCUAACUCGCCGAGCUUUACUGAAAUGCUCUCCACACGAAACUUCAACCUUAAGGGCUAAACAGACGAUCAAUAUUACUGACAGUAUUUCCGGUACUGUCAUUAUUACUGUCAGUGUGUCCAUCAUACGGGGUUAGUGUCAGUACCUGAAAAUGGUGGUCCUUGAAAUCCAGUUUCAGCUAUCAGUAUGUGGGUGGGGGCUUAAAUUAAUAGUAGUUUGUUCACUGGACUGUCAGUAUUGUCAGUAUUAUCAUAAAUCAGAAGAGGUACAAUGUUUGACCAGCAAGGGAAACUACUCCUUCGGGAAUUUAUUUCAGCUUUCUAACCGGAGUUUUGAAAUGUUCGAAGCAAAAAUUAUAUGAAGAACAAGAAAAUGGCUGCAUAUGAGAAGUUAUUGGAGGUAUAUAAAUUAAUCAAAGCUGACGCAACUGUAGAGGAUGUAAAAAAGAUAAAUACAUUAAGAAGCAACUUUCGGAAGGAGUUGAAAAAAUCAACGACUCUAAAGCGAGUGGUGGUAGAACCGAUAACAUAUACCAACCGUCCUCAUAGGUUUUUAUUAGCUUUUAUUCUUGAAAAAUCUGGAGGAGCCUGUGCAGACAAGAAAUUCAACUGAAACAACAGUAGAGGUAAUUGUAUUUUAUUGUUUAACUAAUACAUUUUACUCCAUAACAAUGAAUUGACUACAUUUGCAAUAACUAAGUUAAUUAAAGAAUUUUAAUGAUUUUAUGAUAUAUAUAUAUAUGCGUAAAAGUAUUACGCUUACCAAUAAUUGCAACUGAUGCCUUUCUCUUGUUUCACGUGUCACUUGAAAGUCAAGGGCACGACCAUUCGACGCUGGUAGCUACACUGAAUUACAGACGGCUCAAUCACUAUUUAAUAAUGGACGUGUGUUCGGUGUACUGACAGCAGUUCACACCAAUAGAGUAUUGUCAGUAUUUUUACUAACAGUAAUAAUGAUCGUCUGUAACCCCCUUUACGGUACUAUACAUAAUACUGUAUCCAAAGCCUAUAUGCAUUUUACGAUAGUAGAUUACGCAAACCUGGGUGAUAUGUAGCUUAUAAGUUUUUCUGGGUCACAAUUUGCUCUUAAAAUAAUGCUCACUAUAAACUUCCAUAUUCGAAACUUUUACUCCAUGAUGGUGAAAACAAAAGAUGAGUUCUUGAUUUAGAUUUCUGAGUUGGUCAAGGGCAACCAACUGCCUUAGUCAUCAUAAUAUAAAAAUAGCCAUCCUUCGAUAACCGCAAGUCACUCAUUAGAAAGCCGUAGUGUUCAAUAACUUUUUCAUCUAACUUCAAUAGCUCAAUGCCGUUGUUUCUAUUUUGUAAUAACCAAAGACAUUUUAGCGAGGAUAAGGUGUCUCGUAAAAGUGAACGAAGAGUACGAUAACUUCUGAACAAAAUAAAUAAAUAAAAACAGACAUAAUUAAAGCUUAUUUACAGAUUUUCCAGUAAGCAAAAUUUUGUUUCGUAUAUUUGCCUGCAUUAUGACAAAUCAUUAUAAUUUAACGGUAUUACUUUUACAAGCCUUUCGAAGCCUUUAAAGUAAAACAACUUCUGUCAAGUGUACGAGAGUCAUUUGCUUUUAUUUACAUUUUACACAUUCGCCGAUGUAAACAAAGAUGGCUGGUAGUGCGUGACAGAUGUGGUCUCGUAAAGUUGAUUGCUGAUGCUGACAGUGAUUAUAAGUUGCUAACUUUCACUCCGGCUUUACUAAGACGUCCAAAAAGCACCGUAGAAUCAAAAUGCCACCAAAAAGGAAUUUGACGGCGGAAGACGUCGACAGUGCAGAUAAAGAUGAAGUGGUAAGUAACAUAUGGCAGGGCCGAUAGGAGUACACUGAUUCUUUUUGUAUUUUGGUCACUGAUUUUUUGAAUGCUAAUUUGGUAACGGAUAUUGAAAAUUGAGCUAAUUUGGGUAAAUCUUGGCCAGGACAGUGUGUUUUAAUUUCAUGUCAUGGUAGUACCUAACAUAAAGUCGUAUUGUGGCCUGUUGGACAGUGGAGUUUACUAGGGUAAACAACCGACUGGACUAGCCGAGCCACUGACUACCGCGUUUUUGGCCACCCUCCGAAAAAGUACUUUAACACGUCCUGACACCGAAGAUGGUCAUCAGUCAUGGGUGGUUGGUGGUGAGAGGGGCAGCUCGAGACCCCUACUCUCCUUUCGAUAAACAACUGCAUGGCCUGGCUCAACUCACCGACGAUCACGGCAUGCCACCCUCCAAAAAAGUACUUAGGGGGAAACACCAGCGACUACAAACCCUUAUCACGGUGGACAGGUCUUAUUCACUCGAUAUUUAAAUGGUGAAACAAGAAUACAAUUACAACUCCAAGCAUACCAUUCAAAAGAUUGAAGUUUCGUCAACAUAAUGUGAUAUAUGAAAGCCCCAUACGAACUAAAAUAAGCAUGUGACGCUCUUCGUAAAAUAUGUUUUCAAGGCUGUUUGAAAUCCAAUAUGGCGGCUACCGUGUGGAUGUACAGGUUCUGAUCAGUGAUGACAACCAUCUUUCCCAGCCUUCCCAGCACUCAUUUGAACAAUGUUAGCAUAUAUAUGUAACAUUUAUUGAUCUUACUCAAGAUUGCAGUUGUAAUCAGCACAAUAAAACAUUUUGUUUCCUAUAUUACUGAAAGUAUGAAACUUAUUAUUCCUGGGGUCAUGGUUUGAACUAAAUUCAUUUUUACCUUGUAAUCGGUGGUUUUUAUCCUUACUGCCAUCACAACUGAAACUCCACAGUGCUUAUUUGAUUGUUAUUAUACACAUUUUGGUCUCAAUUCACUCCACAUUGCA